UUUUUAAUUUCAAGUUCUUGUAGGAUGGCGUCACAGGCGUAAUUAUCAUCGCGGUACGGACAUGUGAUGGUGGCUUCGUCGCUGAAUUCAAUGACGUGAGCCAAACAAUCCCUAAAACACGAAAUUGUGGAGGCAUUCCCUGAGAGUGACGCCAACUCGUGCAGGGACCGUCAUCAAACAAACUGGACAAUCGAAACUCUGUGCAUUAGUCACGACGUCACUUUGGUCCAACAAAUCGACCAACUUCUUGUAAUCGACUCGAGUUUCCUUAGUGUUGUCAUCCGUCUCUGAGUGAUCCAUUGGGCGUUUAUAGGCGCAAGCGUUGCAUCCAGAUGGUGUCGUUGGGUUCACCAAUCCAGCAUCUACUGAAUUCAGCACAGCAGUUGCUCCUUCUAACAAGAAUGCUGAUGGGUUAACCGCUUUCGCAAAAUAGAUCCAACCACUAACCUAACUGCAUUGGAUGCUGAUCGUUUAUGGUCGUUGCUGUUAGGCGAGGGUCAGUUUUGUUAGUAUCAGGUUGUAGAGGAUGAUCAAGUAAUGACUGGGCGACGUUAUUAUUAACAAGGGCGGUUGGUCCAGCCACCAACUCAUCGUCACUAUCCUCGUCGCAAGUGCUGUAUCGGUCCUCUUGGUAAUUGUAAUACUUUUUGGCAUGUUGCUGAGGGGGUUGUCCGUCAGCUGGAACAAGGUCAAGCUGAGGCUUUGAAGGUGCCUCGUCUAGCAAAGAUUUUUGGGAUGGGUUAGGAGGCGUUUGAAGGUCAGGAAGAGGAAGGACGUAGAGGAACAGGGAAGAAUUGGACGGGCAAACGCCGUACUCUUUGAGCGUCAAUUGUUCUUGGUCAGCCAAACGACGGCCGAAAAUCCACCGCUGGGAUGGCAUGGCGAUGCCGUGGAUCUUGGCCAUCUGCUCCUUGAGUUGCAGCAGAGUCGUGGCUGGCCGAACGGCAUAUGUGAACGGUCCACUAUGCGUCGAUCGAUCCUCGAUGAAGACUUCUACGCUGCAGCGAACCCAGGAAGGAAGAGAAAGAGUAAACCAAUGGAGAUUCAAGUCAAGUCCAGUUGUAUGUCAAUUCAUUUGAGAUCAUUCAUGUUGAUUGGGUCAAUGCAGAUGCAAAAGGUCGUGCAGAAGGGAUCGCUACUGUACUUGAAUGUGUCGUCAACGAUGCAACUCUGCGUCCGUCUCGCGUUCUCCUCCACCACGCCGAUAGAUGGCUUCUUCUGGAAAGUCAACGUCGUCUGCUGGCCCGAAUUGAUUUUAGUGCUCAGACUCUUUUUCGUUCGCAUCGUCACCUCGGGAUUAGUCAUUAUCAUUUUCUUUGUCGUUAUCGUAAUCUGCUUUUCCGUUUCAGUCUGCUGAUUGACAUGCAAGGAAACUUGUUCUUUCUGCGCCGUCUCUUCUUGUUUGUCUUGCCUUUCUUCUUCCUUGAUAGUCCUCCUCGGCAGAGGGAAAGGUGACGACAACUGGGACAAUCGCUUUGCCGGAAGAGGCGCUGCAGUCGCUGUCGUUUGGUUGACAGUCGAUGCAGCUGAAACGAUGGGAUCGGAUUGUUUGUGUACAGCAGCCACGACAGCAGCGACGGCAGGAAGGACGGAUCUCGGAGCGGCCACCGGUUUAUUAAUAGCAGCAGGAGGUGUAGGUGGAGUCGCAUCGGGCUCUGGAGUCCGCCGUUUGAUGGAUGGUGAUUGAGAAGUAGGUGCCCUUUUGAUGGCGGCCAAUUCUUUGGCCAACACAGCCGCUUUAUCAAAUUGGCCGGCAGCGAUGGAUUGCUCUAAACGCCACAACAUGACCUCCACUCGUUUUUCAUCGCUCACAUCUUCAACGGCAUUCGAAUGGGGAUAACCUUUACUCUUCUGGAUGUCCUUGCUGCAUUGCUGGUCACCGUUGGCUGAUGGUUGGCUCUUAUUGGCCUGUUGUUGCUGCUGCUGAAGAUAUUGGCUCAACUGCGUACGAGAAGGAGAAAGAAGAGCGAAAUUGGUUGGUGUCACGUCCUUCAAAACAACAGCAGGUACACGUGGCUUAACAUGAUUAUGAUUAUGAUUAUCUAUUGGGCCAUCGUGUUUCGUCGGACUAACGCUAUUACGAUUAUCGCUAAUUUCGUCAACUACGGGCGGGUCGUGCGACAUUGAAACGGGUCGCUGGACUACUUUGUCGCUGGCCAAAUUCAGAGGCUGAGUCUGACAACUGGACGACACUUUGAUGCCGCCAUGUUGACUGCGACGUUUGUUGUUCGUUGUCUUGUUGUUGUUGUUUUUGUCUCCCGACUGAUCGUCACUCUCUUCUUUGAUUUCCGGCUGCUUGUUCUGCUGGCCGUUGAGGAAGAAAGCCAAUCGGGCUUGACGUAAAGCUUGGGGACUGUUGGGAGCUGCUGUGGCGACUGUCACCACUGCAGACGAAACUUGAGGUGUUUGGCUGAUUGUGGUCGUUUCCUUGGCGACCGGAGCGGUCACAACCGGCCCGUUGGAUGACCUAUUGCUGAAUUGCCUUGGUUUCAAAGCGGUACACGCCUCGCACCAAAGGCGUGCCUCGCUGUUGAGCAAAGUGCAAAUUUGACACUGCCAUCCGCUGCUGGCCGACAUUUUCGAAUGUCCGUUGACUAGUAGACCCGGGCAGGGCUUGUCUGCAGGUGAAACGACUGGAUUCUUAGGCCGUGCUCCUCCUCCCUUGUGUUCGGCCGACCCGACGACGUGCAAUUUGGGAUUGAAAAUCGAUUGUUUGGCUGACGUCUGCGGCUCCUUGUGGCUGCUCAUCGGCGGCGAUGCGGGGGCUGCGGGGGCUGCAACGGUCUGCCUGUUGACCCGCAAUCGCGUGAUUGUGUUGGCAUUCGAGUCGACGGCCUUGGUGGACGCCAACAACGGCCAACUUUCCUGGUCGGCCACUUCUGGCUCUAACAUCGUUUUAUUAUUAGCAUUGGCUUGUUGCUGCUGAUGUUGCUGCUGCUGCUGCUGGUGCUGGUGCUGGUGCUGCUGCUGCUGCUGGUGCUGCUGCUGCGGCUGCUGGUGCUGCUGCUGCGGCUGCACAAAUGCAGUGCGAAGUCGGAGGUUGGACUCGGCUGUCGUCUGCUUCUGUUGGCUAUUGAUAGACGACGAGUCAGUCAAAGAGUUGAACAUGUUAAUCAACUGCCUCGCUCCCUUUUCUUCGUAUUCGGCCGGACGGCUGACGGCCGGCUCUUCGGCAACGUCUGGAACGCUCGCCAAAUGGGUCGUCGUCAUCGUCUCCUCCUCCUCCUUACCGUGAUGGCAAUAGAAUUUCUCGUCUUCCAUGCGUUUGCGUUGAGAUUCCCUGGCCCUCUCUCGCUGGAUGAUCUCCGUCGCCUCGCGAUCCAGCUGGCUGAUGUUGACUAGCAACGACUUGCGUUGCUGUUUGCCUUUGCUCCCGUCGCUGCACAGGGACGAAGAGCCUUCGCUUCGCGUCGAUCCGCCUGGACUCACUGUCGACGAAUAAUUGGAGCGCAUCGUGUUUAACAGCGUCGAAUCCGCAGGUGGUGGUGGAUGAUGAUGAUGAUGAUGAUGAUUGGCUAACAAUCCCAUGGCCCAACUGUUGCUGCAUUCAUCUACCGCUGGCGGAUGGAUAGGCGGAUGUAAUAGAGCCGCAUCUUUCCAUUUGGAUCGUGACGAUGCGUUGGCCGAUGAAGGAUGAUGAUGUAAUUGACUGCUGCUGCUGCUGCUGCUGCUGCCAUUCCGGCCUCGUUUGUACCAAGGCUUUAAAGGAAGGGUCAUGAUGCCGCGGUGAUUGGAAUCGAUGGUCGAUGCGGAAGCUGCUAUGAUUGGCUCGUUGCUUUUGUUGGCCGGUGAUUCGAGCGGACGCAAAACUCCGCCUUCCAAUUUCAAGAUGUCGUUGUGGGGACAGUCGGCCUUGCUUUCCUGCUCUCCGUUGAUUUUGUUCUGAUGAUAUCGAAACACUUUCACUUUGUUCAUCUCGUCCAGCAGCAAAUUGCAAUUGAGGUCGUUGUUCCAUUUGUUUUCUCCCGCAGGCGGAGUGCCGGACGAGUCCAUCAAGUCCGGCAAAUGGCCGUUGGUCGCAGGAGUAGGUGUAGGUGUAGGUGGAGGGAUGACGAUGAUGUUGAACGGGACAGGCGCAGCAUCCGGAGGCGAAGGCGCUUUCCUUUUACCGGGGACGUGAGCGAAUCCGGCGGAGGCGACUGAACCGGCGUGGAUGCUUCCGGUCGAAUGGCGAGACGACGUCGAUCGUCGAUUGGUCGAUCCCGAAGGCGGUUGAGGUGCCGGCCUCUUUUUCCUCGUCGUCGAGUUGUUCACUGGCGGAUGCGACGGCCUCGCGCAUUUCUCAUCCGCCUCAUCGCGCCCAAUCACCUCGUCCAUGUCUUUCAUCUGCGAUUCCCAUCGAGUCCGCAUGGCCCUGAUUGCGUCACCUUCGAUGUUGUUGUUGUUGUUGCUGUUGCUGUUGCUGUUGUUGGUGCCCAUCUUGUCCGUCGAUUCGUUGCUGCACGCCAUUAAUCCGUACUUUCUUCUCAGAGUCAGCGCCGGAUCGAUGUUCUGACUGGCCGUGGGGCGGAUGAAGGAGAAACUGUUUGUGCUCAGCGAGUCGCUGUUGUCGCUGUUGUUGGCCAAUUGGCCGCUGGAGCCCGUCAUAGGACGAUGUCGUCGACUGACGACCGGACUAUUUUCGACGCUGUGCGACCGACUUCCAGCGCCACCGCCACCGUAGGACGAAGAGAACGGACGAACUGCGAAAGAAGAUGACGUUCGGUUGUUAUUGCGCCGGAACCAGCGAGCCCAAAUGCUCGAAAUGCCUCCUCCUCCUCCUCCUCCUCCACUGCUGGAAUCCUGCAACAACGCCGGAAAAAAAAGGGAGAAAUGGUAGGCGACUUACUUUACUGACGUUGUUGAGUGACGACGCGUGGCUGGGUGGCGGGCUGAGAUUGAUGCUGGACGGGACGGACAGAUCGGCCGCGCUGCUCGAACGGCUGUUGCUUUGCUGCCGAUCGCGUUGACGUCGCGCGUGAUAGUGAUGCGAGUGAAAUAAUUCAGGCGACUUUGGCCGACAAGUGGCCGUUAAGGAGGGGACCGGUUGUUGGACGACGGCCAAACUCGGAUCGGAGAAACCUCGACUCACUGCCGGCCAUCCAUUGGACGGGCCGCCGUCGCGUGUCGUCGCUGCAUUCUCGGCGACCGCUGAGGGAGGCUGCCCAUUGAUGUUCUUUAUUCGCACCUCGUGCUGCUGAUGACGGUGGCGCUUUGUUUCUAUUGGCCUCUUUUCAUUUACCUGCAAAAUAACACAGAAUGGCAUCGGGUCAGCCUCCCUCCGUUUUUUUUUUUUUUUGUCUUUUUCGUCUCCUCUUAAUCAUUUCGUUACACUGGAUUUGGCGUCCUUUUAACGGCUUUGGGAACGUGUCCAAUUUAAUUAACAUAUUUCUUUUGCUUCUAUAAUCUCUAGGUGAAAUAACGCAGAAGGGAAUGUAAGAUUUUGGAAUGGAGAUUUCUCGUCGGGACGAUUCAUCAAGAGUGUGACUGUUCCCAAGUGAUUUGGAGUCUUUCUUACAAACUGGAUGGAACGAGCCAACACGUUUUUUCUGGUGUGUUGACUUUGAUGAACGGAUAAGAUGUAAAAGAUUGGGAGGCACAAAAAGGAGAAGCGCUCGCAACAGCAGCGAGUGAGUAAAAUCGAAACGGGUACACAAAGAAAUUGCGCAUCAAACUGACCUGAGCCGAAAGAAUGGAAUUCCAGUUUGAAUUCCAUUCCUUAUUCUGUUUGGAAUCGGCGGUGGUCCUCUGUUGUCCGGCUGACGAACGACUGACCGGUUUCGUUUGCUGUUGGACGUGUUGACGGGCGAUUUUAGGUCGCGCUCCCAAUUGUUGGCCGUCGCUGCUGCUGGAUGCCGAGCCCACCGAUCCGGCUGAAUACGAACAAGACAUGACGAGGCUCAAACGAUCUCUCUCUCUUUAACACUUACACACACACACACCAACGAAAAAGAAAAAAAAAUGUUCCCCAAAUUUGUCGCAAAAUCCUUUUGAGCCGGAACAGUUCGCCCUAAGGUGCAUCAAAUGCUUCUUCUUUAAUGGCUUUUUGCCUAUUACAGAGACAGAGAGAGAGAGAGAGAGAGAGAGUUCUCUUCUCCUUCCCGUGUUUUGGGACGCUGAAAACUGGGACAACUAGGACAAACUCACAAUCAACAUUAACAAGAGAAAAAUAGGCAAUUUCUUGGAGGAGAAACGUCACUUUUGGCGUGAAUGCGACAUCAAUUGAAACAUCGGUGAAUGAGAGCAAAGAAACACACACACAAACGUAUAGCGAGAAACAAAGGCUCGGAUUGCCGGACAGGGGUGAAAGCAAGACUGUUUCUGCAGCAGCGAGAAAAGCUAUUGCGGGAAUCAAAUGCCUAGCUCUCCCUUCCUAUAUCGUCGCAGCCUCGAACGGAAAAAAAAACAAAAACAACAAAAUGAGCCAGUGCCAAAGAUAGUAGCGCCCAGCAGCAUCAUCCAGCUGUGUACAGCUUAAAAAAAGCCCGGGAUAGUCAGUCACACACACACACAAGCCAAAAUAUUCGAAAGACAGUCAAAGAGGAAUUCGCUGUGAACAACAACAAAACAAAACACGUUUUACUUUUAGCCAUUUUAAGAGUUGCGUUCUGUUGCUCAAUGCUUCCAUCGAUGGCUCUUAUUCUCUCCAGUACUUCCUUAUUCAAUGAUCGCUAUUAAAUGCAGAUUUUAUUGACAUCGCGAAAGGGGCUUUGCUGGCAAGGCCAUCCGUCUUCUUUCAUUGAUUUAUAAAUACAGCUGAAACCAGUUAUAAGGA
rnacentral:lncRNA from 1 species